rnacentral:lncRNA from 1 species
CCAUGAGCUACUUUCCACCGUUGUGCUCUUCAGCAAGGCCUUUUUACCCUAGAUCUCAAAAAUAGAAUUCAAUUAAGGAUUGUUGUUUAGAUUGUGUAUAAUGUUCAAUACUGAUGGUUGAUGAGGGAGUGGUGGUUGAGAAGGGGCUUUGAUGACAUAGACGCCACUUCCUCUGUCUUUAAAAGUCAGACCGACAGAGAGACAGCAGUAACCAGGGUUUAAGUGUUGGAGAUGUUACUGCACUGGUGUCUGCUGUUGAUCGGUUUCUCUCUCAGCACAUCAACCACAGCAGCAGAAGCAAUUCUCUGGGUGAAGACAGGGGAGAAGUUUACCAUGAAGUGCUCCACCACUCUAAAAGACCAGGACGGAAUGUACCUGUAUGUUGGGCUGGACAGGGACAGGGAGGUGUUGUAUUACUACCAGCGUGGCUCCAAGCUGACCUCCAGGAAAGGCUACUGGGACAGAGUGACGACUGAGGGACCUGUGGACCAACUGACCAUCACCGUCAGUAACCUGACCAUAGAGGACACAGGAGUCUACUGGUGUGUUUACACAAAAGUCAACAAAUCCACGUUCAAUAAUUUUAGCACCCAAGGCAAAGGCUCCACUCUGGUGGUGGUGAAUGACGAUGCCCCACAGCUGCCAUGUCCUACAGCUACUGCAGUAACGCUGACCCCCUUUCAUCUGGCCAAUGAGAAGCUGUGCCCAUCUGGCGUGGUAAACAUCAUCAUCAUCAUCAUCAUCACCAGCCUCUUGACCAUCCUGCUGUGUGCUGUCAUUUUCCUCAUCUGGGUCGCUCCACGGGUGAAGAGGUGCUGUAACCAGGGAGGAUCCACACCCCAGGUCUUUCCUGAGUCUGUCUAUGAAGACAUGGCCAGGAAACACACUUAUCCACCAGACACACAGGUAGAAUCGUAGGUAGCAAUUGUACCCCUAUUCUGUCUCUACCAACGGAGGAACUAGGACCAGUGAGUUCUUCAAAUGCUUUUUCUGAAUAUUGCUUCUUUACUUUCUCAGAAUUGAAAAGCCUGUUCUGCUGUAUUUCACAGUUCUAGCCUCAAUGCAAGUCUUUGUGGUAAAUUGUCUGUGUGUGUGUGCACGUAUGUGUCGCACCAUACCAUGCUUAUGUGUGUGAAUAAAAUCUCUAUAUGAUAAGUAUUCGUAUUUCAACAGAAGACCAGCGGGAAGGAGGGGAACAGCCAAUGUUAUAUUCCAGGGCUAUUCAACUAUAUUCUUACGGGUGCUAGAUGUAAAAAAGUUUUAUUUCAGGGAGGGCGGACAUUUUCCACAUGCAAUGCACACACACCAAUAAAAGAAAAGGCUCAACGCUCGCUCACCAUUUUAUUAUUUAUUUAUCUCAAUAAAUAAGACAAUAACUAUAGUGCUUUUCAUUUUGGCACUGAACGUCAGAUUUUGGCGCAGAUAUUUUAUGAAUGUUGAUCUUUUAUGAAGAAUUGAUCAAAGGGCCAGUCUAAAUUAAUAAAUGGGCCGGAUCUGGCCCGUGGGCCGCCAGGUGAAUAUCCCUGUUUUAGUCCAUAAGGUGUAAAGGUUAUAGCAAUGGAGGCCUACCAAUACCUUUUUUUCAGUACAUCAGGUCAUACGUUUUAUAUUGGUUUUAGUUUGAAAUAGUGCUGUAGGCUGUGGUGUGUAGUGUUUUUAGGUCACUGGACCACUCAGGAAGCUGUUCCUGUGCAUGUGGUCUGCUACAAAGUCAAAAGAGCUUCAACGUUAAAAUGAGAACAGUUUGUUAAAACCUUUAUUAUAUUUGAUCAUAGGUACAAAUGUUUUAGCUGCCUAAACUUUAUCAGGUACAUCAGGAUAUAAGCCUACGAGUCAGUUUCAACUUCCUAAACAUUAUUUCCACUUUGAAAACCAGUUAUUGUGUAAAAUAUGUUUUGGGGUGGGAAACAUAUUCACACCGUUUAUUGCCUUUUAAUCAAAAUAUUGAUACAUAAUUAAUAGUCAUGUGAUAUUCAACUUGUGUAUUCAUGUUUAUGUUGUAUUUGUAUACAGUUGAAGUCGGAAGUUUACAUACACUUAUGUUGGACUAAUUAAAUUUCUUGUU